UCCGGCUGCUAUGUGGACAAAUGAGGUCCACAGACAAUGGAGGAUUUCACUUUCCAGGUUGACCUGGGGUCCUGGGUCCUAACUAAUCUACCCUUUCACUACCACUGUAGAGGCUGAGGCAAGAAGGCUUCAAAUUCAAGGCCAGGCCUGGGUACAUAGGGAAACCUCUUUUCACAAACAAAAAUAUAUUUACCUGUUCUUUCCUCUGAGUUUCCUAAUUAGACCUUAGGCCGUUCCACCUUAGCUUAUAGCCAUCAUUUGCAUGUUUAUUUCUGCCAUUGUUGCUGGCUUCUUAUUUCAAGGGCUAUGUCAUUUAAUUUUGUCAUUUAUUUUCCUCCCCUUCUUUUUAUAACAUGCCUCUAUAAACGUUGUUGAUUUGAAUUGCUAACAGCAGCAAUAGUAAUUAUGAUAAUAAUGUUAGCAAAGCCUUUGGUGGCUAUUCCUACUCAGUGGUUUCAGUUAUAUUUGGAAAGUAAAGUUGUUGGUUUUUUGUUUAAAAACACUGUAUCACUCUCUGGCUUUCCACAGCUGAAAAAAAAAAAAAGAAAUUUCUUCAUCUACUUACCUA